CUGUGCGCGCGUGGGAGUGGGUGUGCGCGUGCGCGAGUGUGAGUGUGCGUGUGAGUGUGAGUGUGUGUGUGUGUGUGUGUGUGUGUGCGCGCGUGUGAGUGUGAGUCAGGUGUGUGUGUGCCACCUUCUUUCCCCCUACACGUUGAUCUUAUUCGAUCGGCCGGGCCCCGCCGGGCCGAGGUGAGAAGAAACCGCCGCGAAGCCCUCGGGCGCUGUGCGGCUGGGCCGGGCGGGAUGAGUCGAUCAGAUAGGCGAGGCCACGGCCGAUGAGCGCCCUGCGAUUCUGACCCGC